rnacentral:rRNA from 1 species
GACGUAGGGUGCGAGCGUUGUCCGGAUUUAUUGGGCGUAAAGAGCUCGUAGGCGGCUCGUCGCGUCGACCGUGAAAACCCGCGGCUUAACUGCGGGCUUGCGGUUGAUACGGGCGGGCUAGAGUUCGGUAGGGGAGACUGGAAUUCCUGGUGUAGCGGUGAAAUGCGCAGAUAUCAGGAGGAACACCGGUGGCGAAGGCGGCAUCCUGGACCGACACUGACACUGAGGAGCGAAAGCCAGGGGAGCAAACGGG